GGGCCCAUAGCUCAACGGCAGAGCAGUAGCCUUUUAAGCUAUUGGUUGGAGGUUCGAAUCCUCCUGGGCUCA
rnacentral:tRNA from 1 species